rnacentral:rRNA from 1 species
AACGCGAAGAACCUUACCAGGAUUUGACAUGGGGAGGACCGGUACAGAGAUGUACUUUUCCCGCAAGGGACCUUCCGCACAGGUGCUGCAUGGCUGUCGUCAGCUCGUGUCGUGAGAUGUUGGGUUAAGUCCCGCAACGAGCGCAACCCUUGCCUUUAGUUGCCAUCAUUUAGUUGGGCACUCUAGAGGGACUGCCGGUGACAAGCCGGAGGAAGGUGGGGAUGACGUCAAGUCCUCAUGGCCCUUAUGUCCUGGGCUACACACGUGCUACAAUGGUGGUGACAGUGGGAAGCUAGGUGGUGAUACUAUGCUGAUCUCUAAAAGCCAUCUCAGUUCAGAUUGUACUCUGCAACUCGAGUACAUGAAGGUGGAAUCGCUAGUAAUCGUGGAUCAGCAUGCCACGGUGAAUACGUUCCCGGGUCUUGUACACACCG